UACGGAGGGUGCAAACGUUGCUCGGAAUCAUUGGGCGUAAAGCGCACGUAGGCGGCCUGAUAAGUCGGGUGUGAAAGCCCUGGGCUCAACCCAGGAAGUGCACUCGAAACUGUCAGGCUUGAAUAUGGAAGAGGGUCGCGGAAUUCCCGGUGUAGAGGUGGAAAUUCGUAGAUAUCGGGAGGAACACCAGUGGCGAAGGCGGCGACCUGGGCCAAUAUUGGACGCUGAGGUGCGAAAGCGUGGGGAGCAAACAGG
rnacentral:rRNA from 1 species